AAGACUCUAAUGUGGCGACCGUACCUUCUGUCCUCCACGCGCCCCCAUACCCACCACCACUCCCUUCUCCAUCGCCAGGCUCUCCCUUCGUCAUCUCUUCUCCAACCCCCGACACAACUCUUCAUUUCACAUAACGCAAUCUUCCCAAACAAAACCGAAGCGAACUUCUUGUUUUGGGCUUGCACCCAUGACAGAAAAACGAAGCUCCAAAUAGAGAGCGAUGGCUAUAAGUUAUCAAAAUU
rnacentral:misc_RNA from 1 species